rnacentral:tRNA from 1 species
GAGGGUAUAGCUCAGUGGUAGAGCACAUGCGUAGCAUGCACAAGGUCCUGGGUUUGAUUUCCCCGUACCUCCA